rnacentral:rRNA from 1 species
AACGAACGCUGGCGGCGCGCCUAAUACAUGCAAGUCGAGCGAGAAGGUGUAGCAAUACACUUGUAAAGCGGCGAACGGGUGAGGAAUACAUGGGUAAUCUACCAUCGAGUGGGGAAUAACCAGCCGAAAGGUUGGCUAAUACCGCGUACGCCUCCGGAUCUUCGGGUUCGGAGGGAAAGCCACACUGUGAGUGCGGCGCUCUUUGAUGAGCUCAUGUCCUAUCAGCUUGUUGGUAGGGUAACGGCCUACCAAGGCUUUGACGGGUAGCUGGUCUGAGAGGACGAUCAGCCACACUGGCACUGCGACACGGGCCAGACUCCUACGGGAGGCAGCAGUAAGGAAUAUUGCGCAAUGGGCGAAAGCCUGACGCAGCGACGCCGCGUGGGGGAUGAAGGUCUUCGGAUUGUAAACCCCUUUCGGGAGGGAAGAUGGAGCGAGCAAUCGUUCGGACGGUACCUCCAGAAGCAGCCACGGCCAACUUCGUGCCAGCAGCCG